UUGUUUUCUGAUGUUACAAUACUUCCACCUGUGGAACGAUACAGAGAAGAUUAGCAUGGCCCCUGUGCAAGGAUGACACGCAAAUUCGUGAAGCGUUCCAUAUUUUU